rnacentral:lncRNA from 1 species
ACUGGAAUUUGUGUGUGUGUGUGUUUCAGAAACUGUGUGUGUGUGUGUGUGUGUGUGUGUGUGUGUGUGUUUUCAGCUUGAGAAAGAUGAAAUCACGUUUCCUUAAUGCUGGGAGUAAUAAUGCUUAAUGCUUAACUUUUCAUUGUUCUUUCAUGUUUCAAGCCCUACCAGGCCCAGGAAAACACUUCUUUCCGUUUCCUGUAGCCUUCCUGCGUAUCAUGCAUUAUAUUUGAAAGUGCUUUCCUCUACUUUCCUCAUUUUAUCUCAAUAAUCUCUGCUAAAACCAGAUAACUUUCACCCUCCCGGUUCAGCAUUUGCUCUUUUCCCUCCUACACAAGCUGAUUAGAAUUUGCAAAGAGAGAGGAAGAAGAAAGGUUCUAUUUUGUUUCAUGAUUGUUGCUAGAAAACGGCAAGACCUCGGGAGAGAGACCAGCAUAUUAUUUCCCAGUGGAUGUCAGAGCUAGCAAAGUUUUUUUUUUUUCUUUAAAUUUUAUUCCCUAGCAGGUCAAAAACUAGUAUGUUUGCAAGAACAAUUUCUAGUUUGCUCAUAAAACUAUUGUUAUUAGCCACUCUAAGGUUGGCAUACUUUUAAAAGUUCAAACAAGUUCCUUCUAGAAUAGGGUUCUUUUAAACAUUAACAUUUAAAAAGAAGUAAUUUUUUUCAUAAAUAAUUUAGAUUUAACUCUUUACCUCUAUAGUAUAUCUGCCUUACUUCGUUAAUGUGUCCCCUGAUUUACUGCCUAUGUCAAAGCACUUUUAAAAUAAUGUCAAUUUUCUUGUUCUCCCAGUUCAUUUUUCUGAGGACCAAUGGUGAUAAGUGUUGGUCUGCCUAUCUUCCCAGAAUAAUCCAAGAUUUGGGGAAAGAAAGAGUAUUUUGCUAAUUUCAGCAAAGAAACAUAUAUUGGGGAAAGGAUACUGUAUUCAGUAAAUUGUGCUGGAAAAAGUGGUAAGCCACAUGUAGAAGAAUGAAACUGGAUCCCCAGCUCUCACCUAAUACAAAAAUCGACUCAAGAUGCAUCAAAGACUUAAAUAUAAAACCUGAAACCUUGAAAAUUCUAGAAGAUAACACCAGAAAAACUCUUCUAAAUGUUGGCUUACGCAAAGAAUUCAUGACUAAGACACCAAAAGAAAAUGCAACAAAAACAAAAAUAAAUAAAUGGGACUCAAUUAAACUGAAAAGAUUUUGCACACCAAAUAAAUAAUCAGAAGAAUAAACAGAAAACCCACAGAAUGGAAGAAAAUAUUCACCAACUAUGCAUCUGACAAAGGACUAGUAUCCAGAAUUUACAAGGAACUCAAACAAAUAAAUGAAUUCAAAUAUCCCAUUAAAAAGUGUGCAAAGGACAUGAAUAGACAAUUGUCAAAAGAAGAUAUACAAACAGCCAAUAAACAUAAAAAAAAAUACAGCAUCGCUAGUCACCAGGGAAAUGCAAAUUAAAACCACAGUGAGAUUCCACCUUACUCCCGCAAGAAUGUCCACAAUUAAAAAGUCAGAAAACAAUAGAUGUUGGCAUGGAUUUGGUGAAAAUCACAUCAGUGAAUACAGAUUUGGGAAGAAAUGUGCAUAACUGGUUUCAGCUAGCCAACACGCUGGUCCCAGUAUACCACUGGCUACGGCAUUCUAAAAGUGUCCUCAUAUGUAUCUAUUAAAUAUUCAAGAACUUUGACCAAUAUAUUCUCUGCCAAAUGCUCUCAAGAAAUCUUGGUGGAGAUGGUGUCGGGGUAAGGUGGGGGUUUUUCCGAAAUGGAAUCAUGUUAAUGUGGACUUAAUGUUAAAAUAUGAAUUUUCAAAAAAAUUUGCUUUACUUUCAGUAGGCUAAAUACCUACAUAGUAAAAUUUAAAAAAAUCUGUAAUUCUCUCUUAAUUUAUUCAUUAUACUAUUAUAUGUGGUAGGCAUUUUUUUCCUGGCUCUCAUAUCAUUUGUGUUUGUUUUAUACUAAUGAAAUACAGAAAAACUCUGUAGUAUAUAGAGCCCAAUGGAACUUUUAAGAGUGAGAAUUUUAAUUUGUAUAUUAUGGAAAAGUCAUCUCAGAAAUAUUAGUUUAUAAAUAUGCAGAUACAAUUUCUAGAAUGUCAAAAAAUAAUCCUUUCACCUGAGUUGUCUUAAGUAAAUAACUUUUAGGAUUUUUAAUUGGAUUAUUUAUGUAAUCAUUAUAAAGGAGAUCUGAGGUAAAUUGCUUAAGCAUUUUCUUUAGCUUUUUGCAAGACUAAAAAUGGAGAAUAAAUAUUUGCUCAAAUAUCGAGUCAAACUAAUUUUGAAGAGAAAUCUCUAAAUACUUUAUUAAAUGACCAAAAUAUAAGAAAAUGUUUAAAAAGACUGCAAAUAGAAACACAUCAGUUUAAAGCACACAAAGAGAUAAGUGGAAAAAGUAUUUUCUCAGAACAUGCUAAAAAAAACUUAGAAUAUCCAGGAUACUGCAUUUAUUCAUCCUUACAACAUGAAUUUUAAAUAUCUUAGCGACUGUGCUAUCAUUUUCAGUGUUCUGUAUGAAUUCUUACCUUCUCAGAAGAUUAUGUAGAUAUAACAGAUACUUCUGGAAUAUAUAUCCAUGAUAAGAUUUGUCUUUUUACAGGAGAAAAGAAAAUAUAUCAAGUCCAACAGAACUUAAGAAAAUACAAUUUAAUUAACUUUAUAUGAUAUAGGCCUUGUUAAUAUUAUAUAUCAAAAAAGAAUUCUAGUUUAUAUUCUUUUGUCUGUAAGAUGGGGGAGCUGUUGCAUUAUAAAAAAUACUGGUCAGUUCCAUUCCUCUAAGCAUUUUCUUUUGAUUAAAAUCAUUUGUAGUAAAAAUGAUGACCCAAACCUUUGUAAAUGAUAUUUUAGCUGGGUUAUAAUCUAAUGAAAUUGUGAUUUUAAAAGUGCUUCAAUUACUACAACUAUAAAAUCUUGGUUUACUAGGAAUAUGUAUAAGGUGAAGUAUCCAUUAUUUCUUUAACAUCAGUAUAUAUUGUUUAACAUUCUGCUUUUGGGCUAAGACUUCCUAGGCUUUACAGAAGAGAAGUUGUUUAUCUGAACAGUGUAAAAAUAUGUGUGUGUGUGUGUGUGUGUGUGUGUGUGUAUGUGUAUAAAAAUAUAUGUUCUGUUGUUAUUUAGUUAUGUCUUCCCUGAAAACACUGAUAGAUCCAACAAGUCUCUUGAUUCCUCUUAAAGAUAAGCAAGAAGAAGAAUAAAGUAUGUCACACUUAAACUUGAGUAAAUCCAAGUUGGAAAAACAGAAGCAGAUUUUUUUUUAAUCCUACAGGAUGAAUGUUGAGAGAGACAAAAAUAUUAACACCACAUAAAUUAUAACCUAGAGAAAUUCUAAACCAGGUUGAAAACCUACGCAUAAGCAGUCAAUAAUUAUCUUACACUUAUGCAAUACAAUUUUUUAUUACAGAAAGAACUUUAGUAAUUACCUCAUGCUGUAUAUAUGGGAAAGGAGAUAAGGAAGAAAAACUCUUUAUAGUAUGCAAUUAGUUAUCUCCUGCCUUAUCUUGGUAUUUGUAGAAACACUUGGAAGUAGGAAAAGUGAACAUUUGUAUCCCUGUUCUAUAGUUUAAAAAAUUGACACACAUAAGUUAUUUUUAAUUUAUCCAGUUAAUCACCAGUAAUCAUGAUGCUUUAUGAAUGACAAUUCUUUUAUAUUUAUUCAAAAAUAUGGGGAAAAUAAAUGACAUCUGCCUAUAUAACUUAAAAUUCUUGAAGAAAAUGUGUAUAGGAAUAACUUGGUAUGAAAUGUUAUAGAAAUGUUAGUUCUUUGUCUCUUAUAGUUACAGUAAGUGGCUAAUCAUCAUGUCUACGUUUAUGUAUAAUUUAUUUACAUUUUAAAAUGUUCUAACCUUGAAUACAUAGGGAACAAAUAUCUGAUGAUAGGUGUUUGCAAGGCAGCAUCAGUGAUUUUUCUUGAUAUUUUAUCUGAAAUAUCUGAGUAUCUACUAGGAAUCUAACAUGGAAAGGUAAUUACAUAUGAUGUUGGAAGCAAAUUUGUAUACACCCUAUUUAUGGCCAAGCAAAACAGUGUAAUGUGUCUGAGCAUGUAUGUGUUCCUUUCACCAGUUUUCUUGUGGUAGAAUUUAUAAAACUGCAUAUAUUCACAAUGUACAAUGUGAUGGUUUGACGUAUAUAUACAUUGUGAAAUAAUUACCACAAUCAAGUCAAUGAACACAUUCAUCACCUCAGCGUUUUCUAAAAUUACAUUUAUCAAACUGUAUUUGAAAGUAAAUGUGUUUUCUCAUUGUUAACCACGACUUUAAAACUUUAUUACAGAUUAAUGUUAAGAAAGCUACUGAAAUUAAUUUUAGUAAUAAAACAUCUGAAUAUACACCAUGAAAUGUAUAAAUGUAUGUGCUGAUUUUAGGAGUACAACUAAAUAAGUAAUGCAAACUUACUUGCAGGAUCAUCACUUUAACUCUGUCUCUCUCUCUCUCUCUCUCUUUAUAUAUAUGUCUCUCUCAUAUAUAUGAUAUAUCUUAUACAUCUAACUAUAUAUAUGUAGAGGAAGAAAGAGACACUAUAGAGUAAUACAACCUUUCCAUUAACUGCAUAUAAAGUCAGCCUUAUAAUAAUGCCCCUGGAUUAUCUGACCCUUUAAUAAAAUGUUAUACAUAUUUAGAGACUUGGAUUGUGCCUGUUUUUACUAACAGUUGUUAUUUAAAAUAUUAUUAGUAAGUUAAUUCAUAUAAACCAUGCAGAGAAGCUGUAUAACUGUGCAUAUAAAUAGUGAAGAGAAACUGAUCUGGCAUUCAGGGAUGUUGAGAUUAUUCCAACUCCGCUGCCAAUUGGCUGUGUGUCUUUGGAGAGGUCACAUAAUAUCUCCGAGCUAUAGUUUCCUUAUCAGUAACAUAGACUAGAUGAUUUUUAAAAUUUCACUCAGCACAUAAUUUGAUCUCUAACUUAAAAGAGCUGGAAUAAAAAUCACCACUAAAAAUUAUUAGCGUUACUAUGGUUGUACUUUGUUUUUAUACAUUACAGGCAUUAAAAACUACCUAGAGUUAAUUAGUAUUCGACAAAAUUAUUUCUUACAAAUCUUACGCUAUUCUGUAACGCAUGGGUCUAAUAUGUAUUUAAUGUAGCUUUCGUACAACUGCAAAAACUUCAAAGCAUAUCUGAACUUGUGGGUUUUGUAAGACUUGAACGCUAUAAAUGAAAGUAAUGGAAAUUUUAUUAUAUUCUAUUAUCGAUUGUGUGAUUAGAGUUGUUGAGUGGUAACUCAGUGUCUCAUGUGUGUGAAAGAGAGAGAAAUGAUGACAGUUGUAAAAGCCUAAGAUACACAAGACAGAAUAGUGGUUAGGAUCAUAAGCUUGGAAAUUAGAACCGAUAUUUUACUUCCAGUGUCUGCCACAUCUCAGUGGUAUGACUUUGGGAAAGUAGUUUAAUUUCUCUGAGUUACUUCAUCUGUAGUAUGCAGAUUACAAUAGCCACCGCACAGUGGGUAUAAAGAUGAGUAAGGUUAUAUUUUUGAACACGUAGAAGAGUAUCUGACAUACAAUAAGUGUGUACCGUUAAAGUAUACUUAAACAAAAUUUAAUAUUAAUAAAAGCUAUAUAUAGGUA